UGGGGAAUUUUGGACAAUGGGCGCAAGCCUGAUCCAGCCAUGCCGCGUGCGGGAAGAAGGCCUUCGGGUUGUAAACCGCUUUUGUCAGGGAAGAAAUCUUCUGAGUUAAUACCUCGGGAGGGAUGACGGUACCUGAAGAAUAAGCACCGGCUAACUACGUGCCAGCAGCCGCGGUAAUACGUAGGGUGCAAGCGUUAAUCGGAAUACUGGGCGUAAAGCGUGCGCAGGCGGUUUUGUAAGACAGAGGUGAAAUCCCCGGGCUCAACCUGGGAACUGCCUUUGUGACUGCAAGGCUUGAGUGCGGCAGAGGGGGGAUGGAAUUCCGCGUGUAGCAGUGAAAUGCGUAGAUAUGCGGAGGAACACCGAUGGCGAAGGCAAUCCCCUGGGCCUGCACUGACGCUCAUGCACGAAAGCGUGGGGAGCAAACAGGAUUAGAUA
rnacentral:rRNA from 1 species